rnacentral:rRNA from 1 species
CCCGCUGAACUUAAGCAUAUCAAUAAGCGGAGGAAAGGAAACUAACAAGGAUUCCCCUAGUAACUGCGAGUGAAGCGGGAAAAGCUCAAAUUUAAAAUCUGUCAGUCUUUGGCUGUCCGAGUUGUAAUCUAGAGAAGUGUUAUCCGCGCUGGACCGUGUACAAGUCUCCUGGAAUGGAGCGUCAUAGAGGGUGAGAAUCCCGUCUUUGACACGGACUGCCAGGGCUUUUGUGAUGCGCUCUCAAAGAGUCGAGUUGUUUGGGAAUGCAGCUCAAAAUGGGUGGUAAAUUCCAUCUAAAGCUAAAUAUUGGCGAGAGACCGAUAGCGAACAAGUACCGUGAGGGAAAGACGAAAAGAACUUUGGAAAGAGAGUUAAACAGUACGUGAAAUUGCUGAAAGGGAAACGCUUGAUGUCAGUCGCGUUGGCCGGGGAUCAGCCUUGCUUAAUCGCGAGGCGUACUUCCUGGUCGACGGGUCAGCAUCAGUUUUGACCGUCGGAAAAGGGCUUGAGGAAAGUGGCACUCUCUCGGGAGUGUGUUAUAGACUCGGGUCUUGAAUACGAUGGUUGGGACUGAGGAACUCAGCACGGCCCUUUGGGUAUCGGGGCUUCGGCCCACGUUCGCGUGCUUAGGAUGCUGGCAUAAUGGCCUUAAGCGACCCGUCUUGAAACACGG